CCUCCUUCGAAGGACCCCCGGCCCACGUCCUUCGCACCCCAGGAAGACCGCAAAGAUUGAAGUGAGCGGCUAGCCUUCAUAUCAGCGUCACCUGUCCUCACCUCUGCGUAGCUCAUGUCGCCUACCAACCAAUUCCCAGCUGCUUGUGAAUGCACGUGCAGGCCGCGCCCACCACGAUGGGACGCUACAGGGAGCAACUGCAUAAGAUGGAAUUCUACAAAGCCAAAGUGGAGGUUGAGGCAGUAUAAAUACACGUAGAAAGAGUUAAAGGAGGAUGACAGGGUGCUCCAGGAGACCAAAGAGAUUUUGGAGGAUCAGUUGGAAGGCUGGAGGGCACGCUCAGAUAAAAUCCACCAGCUGGAGAAGCACAUCUGCUGCUGAAGGCCCAGGUACAUGACAAGGAACAGGAGUGGGAGGCAGAUUGGAGGCGCAUCGAGGAAUUACGAACGGAGAACUUGGCUUUGUGUUUGGCACAGAGGAGGAGUAUGGAGGAAUCCCGACACCUGAGCUGGGAGUUAGAGCAACUCUCCAAGACCACAGAAAACUCCCAGGAACACCCAUCCAAGAAAUACCAAAAAAACAGGGACAAAACAGGGGGGA